CUUUCCGAACAAUAUUUCGAUUUCAUUUUCAGUUCUGUUCCCAACUGUUAUAUUUUGCUAUUCUGUUCGUUAUGUACCGUUAAAAAAUCGUUCGUCAAAUGUUAUAUAUUGGCUCAUAAAAUCAAAAUCGAAUAUAGAGUACAAGUCUGCAUUUAUCAUAGUACAUUAAACGCAAGCUUGCGUUGCAUUUUAAAACUUUACUACUGCUCAAACUUGUGUACAAUUCAUGACUACUUGUUGGAUCUAUAGAUUUAAAAAUUUGUGAAUUUAUUGGCAUUUUCCGUAGUGCUUAAAUUUGACGAUCGACAGAAAUUUCGUUUUAAAAGAGAAACAUGUAUUGAUUUAUUUAAUUGAAAUGGACUGUGCGUGUGGAAUUCUUGUAAUAAUGUUCCGGUUAGAAUCUGCAAAGGUGGAAAGACGGCACUGGUGGAACUAUAUUCGCGAUGGCGUAGUAUCAUUUGUCAGAUGGCGUGCUGCGGUCGAUCGAGCGAGAGCGAGCGCUGUCGGCGGCACCGAGGCCGAGUUAAACGGGCCAGAUCGCAGAUGGACGUCCGCGGGAGCGUUCUGUCAUGGAGAGCACAACGCGACGUGUCGUAAGUGUGCUUGAGUGUCGUCAUCGUCGUGGUCGUUGCCGCAGUCGUCGCGUGUGUAGUAUUCCGGGAUUAUCGCAGUGACAGUCGACGGAGAUAGGCGUGCGCAAGGAUCGUGGUGCUGUUGGUGCUACUAUCGAUAUAUAUAUCGUGAACUGUGGCAGUCGAAUAAUUACAUACAUCGCAGCCACGUCCGUACGUACCGAAGGCGUAUUCAUCUCGCCUCCUAAAAAAAAGUGCUCUUCGAUCGAUCGAACAAUCGUACGCACGUGCGUUCGAUUCGUCGCGCAAUCGAUAGAUCGGUAAACGGUGCAGUGACAUGUUAACUACGGUGCGUGCCAGUGUGUCUAUUAAUAGAACCGUGUGAUUCGGAGUGCCGCGAAUAACCCACGUGCUCCAUCGAACAAGGGAACGAUAUAUAUCGAGCUUGUCAACAAACGAUUCGACCGCAACAGGCAAACGGAGUGGAGAGAACACUCGUCACCUGCUAUCGGAAUCGUUCGGACGUUUUCGUCGAACCGAAUCAACGUCGACGACGUAACUCGUGCGUUUCCCCGUGACAUCGUAAACACGCACUCGUAUACGGUAUUACGAAAUUGAAACGAACCGGGCACGGUCGUGCUUCGUUGGUAAACAAACACAUCGAGCAGGCUUGGUAUCACAACAUUUUUUCCCUCGACACGAACGUAACACCGCGAGCGAAUCACACUUUGCCCUUCAAGCGAGCGAAGCUUCGAUCACAUCGUGGGAUCUUGAUCGUGUCACGAAGCCGGUAUCACGGUGCAAGAGAUCGCGGCUGUUCGAGAGUGAACGUAUCGUUGGAUAAGCGUUAUCCUCGCCCUCUCUCUCUCGAAUACGAAAUCCUGUUAACUCGAUCCGUUAACGUAACGGACACGCGGAGAAGUGGCUGACCGGAGUACGGUAGUGCGUCUGCGCGUAAACGAAAUAUUUACGCGCGCUAAUAUAAAACUCUGCGCAUGCGCGUGCAGCGUGUAUCAACGACGAAAGUCGAAUCUCGUAUCAGCCAGAACGAGAUCGUCGCUAGUUAACGGUGGAAAAGGGGAAAAAAAGAGGGCGAGAGACGAACGAUGCUGCUGUCCGGUCGUCGCGGUUAAUUCGCACGUGUCGCGAUGUCGGGCGGCACGGCGGGCGUCCGUGGCACCGGCGCCGAGUGCAGGAAGUUCGCGCCGAACAUAUUCAACAAGAGCAAGUGCAGCAGCUGCUUCAAGCAGAAGGAGGAGCACAGCGCGGAGGCUCUGGAAUGCAACAGGGCAACAAGAAAGAUUUCGAAAUGCGGGUACCUGUUCGUCGCCCCGGGCUGGGACUUCUCGAAUCCUCUGAACCGGACGAAGAGAUGGCAAAGAAGAUGGUUCGUGCUGUACGACGACGGAGAGCUGACGUACUCGGUAGACGAACACCCGGAAACGGUGCCUCAAGCGAGAAUCGACAUGACCCGGGUGCUGGAGGUCGCCGCUGCCGAGGACAUCACCGGACAUCCUUACAGCCUCGCCAUCACCUCGCCCGAAGGAGUUACCUUCGUCAAAGGCACGUGCCGUGAAGAAACUAGGUGGUGGGCCGAUGUUCUUCAGGUUUACUCGAGGAAUAAGGGUCGACAUAAGCGGAAUGCCACGUUCCCUGGUGGACAGACUACCAUUCUUCAGGUUACUCCGACGAUUAGAAGCAACACCCCGAAUCCCCCGCGGCCGCGAUUCAACAGCUGUCGCUCCGAGCCCCGAAGCAACACGUGGAUCCCCGAAUCGAACGUCUCGUCGGAUCUGUGCUCGUCCGUUUUCUCCUCGACGCCAUCUCUGGUGACGAACAGCGUGGUGACAACUGCCAGCAGCGGGAACAUGAGCAACGGUAACACGGAACCGAGCAACGAUCACCGACUGGGGAACUCGUCUCCCUUGAGGACCAGCACGCCUCUGGAGAACGGCUCCAGUUACCUGUCUUCCGUCUCCUCGAGCUCCCCCAUGAACGGAAGCGUGUCGAGCACCGUGUACUCCACCACGUCGACGAUGUCCACUUCCACGAUGUCUGGGAGCUCGUCGUUGACGGAGAAGCCGCCGAUCGUACCCAACGAGGGUAGGUCGAGCUAUAGGGAUCAGCCGGCUAGCAGCGCGUCCCCUCCUACCAGGGACAAACUCAGAGCCGAGGACAAGGCCAGGCGUAGGAUGAAUCAGCAUGGGGAACGAACGAGUAUCGGCACCGGGACCGCCUGCUCUACAGAGAAACUAGACGACGACCCCUGUCGAAGAAUCCUCCUGGAGCACGAGAGGGAAAGGGAAGGAAAACUGCGAGACAUCGCUGCCUCUUUGACCCAGCCACGUGCUCGAAGGAUCAAGCCUAGAACGUCCGAGCCAACCAGAGACGUGGUCGAUGCAGCUAACGCGGCUUACCAGGACAAGUUCAUCAGAGGAGAUCCCGACGGCUGCGGUCUAGACAUUUCAGGAAUCAGGUACUCGCCUACUUCGGAGCUGAGGGUAGACCUGCCCGCCGAGGAUUUGUUGAACAUCAAGAAAGGCUGGUUGAUGAAGCAGGCUCUGAACAAGGAAUGGAACAAGCACUGGUUCGUACUGCGCGGUUGCGGCCUCAUGUACUACCGGGAUCCUUGCGCGGAAGAUAAGGGUAUCAUGGACGGCGUGAUAGAUCUGAAUACCGUUACCGCAGUUACGCCCCUUCAGGUCGCAAGAAAUUAUGGAUUCCAGACUGUGGCGUGGGACGAUCGAGGGUCCACCGUGCUGUCCGCGGUGACGGCCGGGAUACGAGAUAGCUGGAUGACUGCUAUUCGAAGGGCUGCCAAUUUGCCCGAUCCGGAUAGCAACGCUGAUCUAACGGUUUGCCAGGACAGUCAGCAGGAUAACACUCCGCAGUCACCUACCGCAUCCAUCACAGAUCGCGAAAGGGACUCUGUCGUUCCUUCCACCUCGGUUACGCCUCGUUCGGUCCUGUUCUCCUCCGACGAGGAGUACAGAACAGCAUCGGAAGGUGGCAGAAGAGAAUCCGGCGACUGGUCGGAAGUGCCCGUCUCGCCGCCAUUAGUGAGAAACGGAGAUUGGCCGAGUGGGUUGAAAAGUUCGAGCUGGUCAGAUUCCGCGAACCACGAAUGGUCGGAGCUUCCUCCGUCGCCUCCGCUGACGAGAACCGCGUUAUCGCGAGUGAAAGCUCGAUCCAGAUCGAGCUCGAGGUCCAGGGUGUACAAGAGAAGCCGCAGUUCUCCUCCGAGUUCCAGAAGAAGUACCCUGGACAGUGUGAGAUCGGAGGAUCUGAUGAUGGCCUGCUGCGAGCUCGGAGAGGACGAGGAGCAGCCCAAUGGUCAUCUGCAGAGCAACAGUUGUUUGUCGAGCGCCAACGAAAGUCCAUUGAUCGUCGAGUUGUUGGAGAACCAGGUGUCUUUGCUGCGAGAUCAGCUGGAUCACAAUGAAGCUCACCCAAGCACGCUACUAGUCAUUAUCGAGCGUCAGGAGAACGAGAUCGAGAGUCUGAAGUCUCAGCUGAACACCGCGCGAGCCGACGUCGCUAGCGCUGAGAAGGAGCUGUCCAGGUUGAGACAGCAGAAGGCUGAGGCCUCCAUCAGGGAGAAACAGGUGGAAGAGUUGUUAGGUACGAUCCAGAGGACGGAACAGCAGAGGAGCAAGGACAUGGAUGACCUGGAGAAGAUGAAGAAGAUAUACAAUAGGGAUAAGGAAAUGUUGGAGUGUAAGUUAUUGGAGACGGAAGCCAUCCUCAGGGAGACCAGCGAGCGGUGUGAAAUGCUCUCGAAAGAACUGGCGUCGAGUCAUAGGACCGUCGAACAUCUGCAGGCAGAAAUUGCUUCCUUGAGCAACAGAUUGUCGCAAGGAAUCGAGGAGAACGACCGUUUGUACUCCAAGGUUAGAGAGUUGGAAGAGAAGGGAGGGCUAUCGGCUUCGAGGGAGCGUGGAAGGAGCUUCGAUUCGCUCAGCGACUUGACGAACAUCGAGCUGGAUCUGGAUUUAAAUGCGCUGGAUAAAGAAAGAAUAAUGGAGGAGUACGACGAGCUCCGAAGUCGUUUCGAGAAAGCCAUCCAAGAGAUCCGGGCGAUGCGCAAAGAGCUUCGGGAAGCGCACGCGAUGCAGGACGCGUUGGAACUGGAGAUUUUUGCGCACAAGCAGGACGCGGCCAGCGUUAGCGAAACGAACCAAGCUCAAAUUCAGUUAAUGGCGGCGAGGAUCCAAGACCUGACGAACAAGCUAGCUGCCAGCGAGAAGCAAGUAAGAACGCUGAAGCAGAAGCUGACCAAAGCCGAGAGCAGGGACAAGAGGAGAUCGCUGUCGUUAAAGGGUCGCGAGUCGUUUCAAAUCUCCCAGGAGAUGGAAGACAAGUUGCUGGACCUGGAGAACAAAAUCUGCGCGAUCGAACGCGGUAAGAGCAUCGGUACGCCCGUGUCAACCGGUAGCAGCUCGAAGGAGUCGAGUCCUAAUCCAAAGAAAGAGAAGAGGAGAGAUAGCAAGAACCUGGAUCGUACCAGGUUGAGAAGGAAGUCGUUAGAUAGCGCGACCAGCUCUGAACCAAUGAAGGUGUUGAUAAGAUUGAGUACGCUGGAGACCAAGGUGGCAAACGUGACGGAGAAUAUGGCCAGCGACGCGGAGAAGGAUUCUAGCGAGUGCAGCGAAGUGAGCGGAUCAUCCACUAGCGAAGUGUCGCUGGAGAUCAUUGCGAGGCUAAGAAAAUUGGAGAGGGUGGUAUCGAAGUCGAAGAGGAGGCUGGAGAAGUGUUUAGGUUCGACGCAGGCGGAGGACAAAGCGGAAAAGUGUUUGCGCGAGGUGAACGAUAUCCUGGACUCGUGUUUAGAAUGUAAGAAAAAUCAAGCUAGCGCUCAAGCGACCGAGUCAGUAGGCGUAGUGGUAUCUAGACUAGAGACUAUACUUAAAGAUAAAUUCACCGAGCUCACGAAGAGACGGCAGACGCUGGCGCAGAACGGUGAACUGGACGACAGAGAGAAGAUGAAGCUGAUCGCCGAGAGGGUGGCGUUCGAGUUUAUCGUUCUGAGGCAGAUCAAGCGAGCGAUCGGUCGCACGUACGAUAGAAGUGCCGUUCUCAGUGAAUUGGUCGAAACUAGUCAGCUUGCCUCAAGCUUAAUGCGUAAGAUUCAUGGAACUAAGCCCAAAACGUACCAAAACACCAGUUACAUUCAGUAUCUUACUAAAGUGUUAGCAAAUAAGUUAGUACUAGUAGGCGGCGUGAACGCGACAGAAACGUCCAAGGAGGUUUCCGCUGCUCGCAGCGAGAGUUUGAACUUCUUGCUGCAGAAGCAACGCGAAGUCAACGAGACCGUGCGGCGAUACAAGGAGACGAAACUGAGGCAGCUAGCCGAGGCUUUGGCCGUUGAAACGUUGAGCAUGUCGGACAAGGAGGACCUUGGCAAACAACAGGCGAGCAAUUCUAGCAAGAAGUUGUUGGAAGAUCGGCGAAUUCGCGAGGCGUGGGCAUUGGCUCAGGAGACGGUCAGCAAAGAGUUGGUGCAAGCGGAAGUGUCUCACGUGAUCAUGCGUUGCGGUCAGAUGUACGAACAGAACGUCACCAGCAUCACCGACGUCUGCCUCAAUUUCGACGGUGCGGAAAACAUCACGUUGGAAUCUUGGAUAGACGCGACGCAAGCGAGACUGCGACAAGAAAUCGAACUAUCCACGCGCGAGCUGUCGGACGCGUACGAGGAGUGUCUUCGUUUGUUGAAGAGGAACAAGUCAACGGUGGAAACGAAGUACGAGUCUCGGCAGUUGUUGACGGACUACGCAGACGUGAUCGCACACAAAGCUUUAAUCGAUGCCAGAAUCGGCCUUCUUCAGGAGAACACGAAACAGUUAACAAGCUAUCCUGGAGAGACUUUCGUAUCUAGUCUAAUCCGAAACGACGACCUUCUUUCCUGUCUAUUCGCGGACGAUCACGAUUUCCAAAGCAAUCCGAUUCUCGACGCCGAGUACAGUUACCUUUAUCAACAAUUUAGCAAGGAGUGCGAGGAGAGGAUAUCCGGGAAGCGUGGCUCGAAAGAGCAGCUGAAGAACGUUGGUCAGAGUUUGCUCAGCUUAGAGGAGGAUCUGAUGGAGCUGAGCAAACGCGUCAGAGAGAAGUCGUGCGAGAACGCUGACGGCAUCGUCUGGCCCAAAUCGCCAGCCGUCUCGGACUGGUCGAACGUUUGCGAGAAGUGUUCGCAGCUGCGCGAGCAAAUCAAGAAGCUGAGCGAGUACAUGAAUCGUAUAACUUGCAAACAAUGCGAACAGUUGCAGGAGACCAUUCAGAGGAUAACCGCGGAGCACAACGAAGAAUUGGAAACUCUGAAGCGCAACCAGGAACGGGAUCUGAUGGACAUUAAGGGAGAAUUGGAUAACCAGAGGCAAUCUUUGACCUCUCAGUACGAGCAGGAGGCUGCUAGUCUGCGAGAAAAGGCGAGGAAGUUGGAAUACAGAUUGAACGCCAUGGAUUCCGAGCACUCUGCUCACGUGAACGAACUGAGAGCCGCUUAUCAAAGAUCCAUGAGCGCGGAGUUGGACACCGACGCGGAAACGAGGAAGAGGUACAAGGAGGAGAUCAAACAGCUGCGAGCACUGUGCGAGAAAGGAUUGCUGGCGAUGGAAAACUCUCACAGACGCAUCAUCUCCGAAAUGGAGGAGAAACAUCGGCAGGAACUGGAGAAUCUGAGGGUGGAGAAAGAGCAGGCGUUGUCAGAGGAGACCCAAGCUACUCUGGCAGCGUUGGAUGCCAUGAGAAAAGCACACGAACACGAGGUGCAGAAGGAGAUAGCCAAGUUCAAGCAAGAGUUCAUCAAACAGAUGCAAGCACGCGAAGACAUUGGCGUGCUUCACAAGGAACACGAGGAGGAGAUGGAGGAGAUCAAACAGGAGAUUCUCUCGUUAUCUGCCAAGUAUUCCUCCAAAUGCGUGGAGUCCGCGGCUCUGGAGGAAAAAGUGGGUUCUCUCACGAAACAGCUAGCUCAAGCGCAACAGCACAUCAUGCAACUGGACGCACGAAAUAAACAGCUGAGAGCUCAUUUGGUAUUGGACACGAACGAUGGUGCUAUCAACGACACCGUGCAAAUGUUGAGGGGCAAAGAAAACGACAUAGCCGAACCAAGAGAGGAUCUCUACAAAUUGCAGCAAUUGAAGACUCGACCGACAUCUCGUCCAGUGACGUUCGUAAAAUGCAUGGUGUCACAUUGAUCCUCCUCUGCCGGUUCGUAACCAAUCACCGCACUCCAUGAAUCGAGGGUUAAUUAAUAAUUAACAGUGGCAACGCGAAAUCAGCCGAGAUCAUCGAUGGUUCUCCACGGAGGUUUUACUGUACCUGAGAGCGACCUCAACCCAUAACGUGUAAUUGUACUCGGGUGCACCGUGGACUUCUUUUGGCUAAGAGGAAGCGUGGAGGGAGGACUCUUGCCUUUGGGAGAAUUUUAAUCACCAGGGUGCACAGAUUUCUCGACGCCUCCUCUUAAACAAAGGUUAGCCCGAAGUGCACGCGACCGUACCGGAUUGGCCCGAGCAGCAUCGAUCCUAACGAUCGUGUUAACCCACAUUCAGCCGCACUCUGACGCAUAUAUUAUUUUCGAUAUUUCACUAACAGCAUGGGGACGGCCCUCGUGAUACGUCCGGUGUGCCAUCGAAAUCGACAGGCUACUCGCCGCCUUAUUCGCCGCACCGUGUCCGGAG
rnacentral:misc_RNA from 1 species